AGAGUUUGAUCCUGGCUCAGGACGAACGCUGGCGGCGUGCCUAAUACAUGCAAGUCGAGCGGGGUUGUCGGAGUGGAGUCCUUCGGGAUGAAGCACCGUCAACCUAGCGGCGGACGGGUGAGUAACGCGUGGGUAACCUGCCCUAAAGCCCGGGAUAACACCGGGAAACUGGUGCUAACACCGGAUACCUUCCGAAGAGGGCAUCCUUUUUGGAAGAAAGGUUAACGCUUUAGGAUGGGCCCGCGUCCCAUUAGCUAGUUGGUGAGGUAACGGCUCACCAAGGCAGUGAUGGGUAGCCGGCCUGAGAGGGUGGACGGCCACACUGGGACUGAGACACGGCCCAGACUCCUACGGGAGGCAGCAGUAGGGAAUAUUGCGCAAUGGGCGAAAGCCUGACGCAGCGACGCCGCGUGGGUGAUGAAGGCCUUCGGGUUGUAAAACCCUGUCCUUGGGGAAGAAGGAAGUGACGGUACCCAAGGAGGAAGCCCCGGCUAACUACGUGCCAGCAGCCGCGGUAAU
rnacentral:rRNA from 1 species